rnacentral:lncRNA from 10 species
AGUGUCCUCUGUUGUUCAAGUUGAAUGAAUAUCAGUUCAUAGCAACAGAGUGAAUACAGCUACAACUACCAAGCCAAAACUUGUGGUUUCUUUGAGUCAAAGCCCAGCUCUCAGCAAAUUGAUUUUUGUUUCAACUAAUUGCCUGGCGUUGGAGGCACAAAAAUCUAUACCAUCUUCACCCAGGUUUUGAUGCUGGCUUCUCUGACCCUGUGCAUCCUUCCUAGCUGGGCAAAUUCUAUCUGAAACAGUCUUCUUGCAAACUCCAGGAAUUCCAACCUUGAGUUUAUGGCUCUCAACUAAAAGGAUAUAAAAGCUACUCUGAAUGGAAGUUCAACUCAAUUUGAGACCUUCAGCUUGCUAGAAUACAAUGUCUGCACAACAAAUUGGACAGCUUUCCCCAUAACUUCCCACCAAGCAGAUGACAGGUUCUUAAGAAGCCUUAGAACAAGAGGAUAAGAGAUUGAGAGUAAACUUAAAAGACCACUGCAGCAGAUCACAUAUGAGCAAACUUUCUGCCUGCAAUUGUUGUGGACUGGUCAGGAAGUUUGCUGGAAUUUGUACAUAUUCAAUCGUUUGCUUCUGAAAUAACCAAGACUGCAGAAAGUCUUACCAAAGCCACCAACAUCAUUGCCAAAGUUUGGAAAUUCAUCAAACUACCCACUAUUUAAGGAUAUUUUCAAUGUUCUAGAAUCUUCUUAACUGACACCAUCUGAACCACAAAUCUUGGCAUUACUCCUCUAUUUCAUGUUUAAUAGUUUUUUUUCUACGAUAUUGCUAGCCAUAGCUCUCAUUAAAAACCUGAUCUCUAAGAUCCUUCGACAACAGUUGAACUACAUGUUGGCAGAUGAUACAGUUAGUCCUUUAAUGCCAACGAGAAUGUGAAGGCUGGCUCAACCCCUAAAAACUACUUUGACCCAUCUCAGUUCAUGAUUCCU